rnacentral:rRNA from 2 species
GAUGAACGCUGGCGGCGUGCUUAACACAUGCAAGUUGAACGAAGCUCUUUGGACUGACCCCUUCGGGGAGAUUUUCUUAGAGACUUAGUGGCGAACGGGUGAGUAACACGUGAGCAACCAACCCUUGACAGUGGAAUAACAACGGGAAACCGUUGCUAAUACCGCAUGAAAUCUUGAAAUGGCAUCAUUUUAAGAUCAAAGAUUUAUCGGUCAAGGACGGGCUCGCGUCCGAUUAGGUAGUAGGUAAGGUAACGGCUUACCUAGCCUGUGAUCGGUAGCCGGACUGAGAGGUCGAACGGCCACAUUGGGACUGAGAUACGGCCCAGACUCCUACGGGAGGCAGCAGUGGGGAAUAUUGGGCAAUGGACGCAAGUCUGACCCAGCGACGCCGCGUGAAGGACGAAGGCAUUCGUGUUGUAAACUUCUUUGGAGAGGGACGAAAAUGACGGUACCUCUCGAACAAGCCACGGCUAACUACGUGCCAGCAGCCGCGGUAAUACGUAGGUGGCAAGCGUUAUCCGGAAUUACUGGGUGUAAAGGGCGCGCAGGCGGCCCUGCAAGUCGGAUGUGAAAGAUCAAGGCUCAACCUUGACAGGUCAUUCGAAACUGUAGGACUUGAGUGUCAGAGGGGAAAGUGGAAUUCCUAGUGGAGCGGUAAAAUGCGCAGAUAUUAGGAGGAACACCGGUGGCGAAGGCGACUUUCUGGCUGACAACUGACGCUGAGGCGCGAAAGCGUGGGGAGCAAACA